GGAGCGGGCCGGGCCCCUCUGGCGUCGGAAGUUCCUCCAAGCUUCCACGUGAUGUCGGACCGCAUCG
rfam:Rhodobacter capsulatus SB 1003, complete genome.